CUUUCUAUUGUAGGAGAGUCUAUUUUUGCUUCUCCCCCUCUGCUCUGCAACCAGUGUCUCAGAAUCUGUAUCUAUCAAAUCCUACUCCUUUCAUCUAUUUACUUCAUUCAGUAUACUAUCCUUCACCAUAGUCAGGAUAAGUUUGUCACUAGUAGUAAAAUUACUCAGCAUUAUCACCAAUAUCUCCCAACUGUCUGAUAGUGGACUCAGCA
rnacentral:lncRNA from 1 species